UACGUAGGGGGCAAGCGUUGUCCGGAUUUAUUGGGCGUAAAGAGCGUGUAGGCGGCUUGGCAAGUCCGCUGUGAAAACUCGAGGCUCAACCUCGAGCUGUCGGCCGAAACCAUCUGGCUAGAGUCCGGAAGAGGAGAAUGGAAUUCCCGGUGUAGCGGUGAAAUGCGCAGAUAUCGGGAAGAACACCCGUGGCGAAGGCGGUUCUCUGGGACGGUACUGACGCUGAGACGCGAAAGCGUGGGGAGCGAACAGG
rnacentral:rRNA from 1 species